rnacentral:sRNA from 1 species
UUUAUCCCUAGGAGAGAAAUGAUUUCUCAUAUGGAGUCAAAACAUACACACAUACUCAGUAUGUGUCCAUUUUCAAUUUGUCCCUUCUGUACUGCUUUGCACUCUAAAUGGGAACUUUUAAAAUUAAAAGCUUCCAAGGGCAUUCACAGAGAUCUUUUUGGUUUUGUGGAAUCCUUCCAAAUCUUGGUAAUUAUUUCCUGUGAUGUUGCCAAACUUUUCAUAGGCAGAUAUCGUAACUCAAAAUGUUUUUUUAAUCUGGUUGGUAAUGUCCUCUGGGCUUUAGAGUAUCUAUUUUCCCUUAAUCAUUUCAGCCUCCUGUUAGCGAUCUAUUAAACAAAUAAAUUUCAGCUUAGUUUUUUUGUACAUGACCUUCCUGCUAUAAUACAAAGAUAUAACAGUAAUGAGACUAGCUUUAGCCACUUGCAUAUCUCCUAAAAAUAGUAUUAACUGCUAUUCUCAGGCAUUAUGUUAUAAAAACAUUAUUUACCUAAAGUCUCCAAAUAGUUGUUUUUUAUUUUUAUGUCUUCAUAAUGCAAUGUAGCUCAAGUAAUUUCUGGUUUGGGACUCAAAGGAAGGAUACUACUAGGUUUAUGUGGAUUCUUAAGUUCUCAUGAAUGAUUGACUAGGGAGAGACCUCAGCAAGAGAGUGAGAUGUAGGACAGGAAUGCACAGCCUUGUGAAUUUAUGUGCCGAGUUCGUAUUCAGAAGACUCGCUUAACUAUCACCCAACCACCAGCAGCAAACUACCUUCCCACAGGAGAGGAUAAUAUUGCUUUUGGGCUUUGUUUCUUUUCUCUAUAAAUUCACAGGUCCUACCCCUAGGACAGAUGUAGACAAGCCUCUCUGGAACGCCAAAAAUCUUGCCUUUGGAGGUAACUUAGAAAAAGGCCAGAAAUAUUGAGAGAAAUGAAUUCGGGCCUGCGUUUUGUGUUUCGAGGUAGUUCCAACCGAAAGGGUAAACAAUAACCAUGGAAGCUUGUGUUCAGUGAUUUUUCCUCUGUCUGCUCUGACAGGCCGCCUUGACCAUUCAGGACAGCCACAUUGAGAUCCACAGGCUGGUUCUCCAGCAGCAGGAGGGCCUGUCUCUCGGCCACUCUAUCCUCCGAGGCGGCCCCUUGCAGGACCAGAAGUCUCACGACGCGGACAGGCAGCAUGAGGAGCUGGCCAAUGUGCACCAGCUCCAGCACCAGCUCCAGCAGGAGCAGCGGCGCUGGCUCCGCAGGUGUGAGCAGCAGCAGCGGGCGCAGGCGGCCAGGGAGAGCUGGCUGCAGGAGCGGGAGCGGGAGUGCCAGUCGCAGGAGGAGCUGCUGCUGCGGAGCCGGGGCGAGCUGGACCUCCAGCUCCAGGAGUACCAGCACAGCCUGGAGCGGCUGAGGGAGGGCCAGCGCCUGGUGGAGAGGGAGCAGGCGAGGAUGCGGGCCCAGCAGAGCCUGCUGGGCCACUGGAAGCACGGCCGGCAGAGGAGCCUGCCCGCGGUGCUCCUUCCGGGUGGCCCCGAGGUAAUGGAACUUAAUCGAUCUGAGAGUUUAUGUCAUGAAAACUCAUUCUUCAUCAAUGAAGCUUUAGUACAAAUGUCAUUUAACACUUUCAACAAACUGAAUCCAUCAGUUAUCCAUCAGGAUGCCACUUACCCUACAACUCAAUCUCAUUCCGACUUGGUGAGGACUAGUGAACAUCAAGUAGACCUCAAGAUGGACCCUUCUCAGCCUUCGAAUGUCAGUCACAAACUGUGGACAGCCGCUGCUUCCGGCCAUCAGAUACUUCCUUUCCACGAAAGCAGCAAGGAUUCUUGUAAAAAUGGUAAUUAACACUUUAAACAUCAUCUGUAUAGUUUGAACAAGAAGUUGUCCCUCUGAAUGGUUGGCUCUUGUGUAGAGUGAAUCAAAGUCCUCCCUAGCAUGGGAAUAAAUUGGUACUGAUGAGCUGG